rnacentral:rRNA from 1 species
CUCUGAUGUCACACUGCCGAGAAAAGCUUCUAGUUAGAAAACAACGGCCCGUGCCGUAAACCGACACAGGUAGUCGAGGAGAGUAUCCUAAGGUGUGCGAGAGAACUCUCGUUAAGGAACUCGGCAAAAUGACCCCGUAACUUCGGGAGAAGGGGUGCUGUUCGCAAGAACAGCCGCAGUGAAUAGGCCCAAGCGACUGUUUAUCAAAAACACAGGUCUCUGCAAAAUCGAAAGAUGAAGUAUAGGGGCUGACGCCUGCCCGGUGCUGGAAGGUUAAGAGGAGUGCUUAGCGCAAGCGAAGGUACGAAUUGAAGCCCCAGUAACGGCGGCCGUAACUAUAACGGUCCUAAGGUAGCGAAAUUCCUUGUCGGGUAAGUUCCGACCCGCACGAAAGGCGUAACGAUUUGGGCACUGUCUCAACGAGAGACUCGGUGAAAUUUUAGUACCUGUGAAGAUGCAGGUUACCCGCGACAGGACGGAAAGACCCCAUGGAGCUUUACUGUAAUUUGAUAUUGAGUGUCUGUACCGCAUGUACAGGUUAGGUAGGAGCCGUAGAGAUCGGGACGCUAGUUUCGAUGGAGGCAAUGGUGGGAUACUACCCUUGCGUUAUGGCCACUCUAACCCGCAUCACUAAUCGUGAUGGGAGACAGUGUCAGAUGGGCAGUUUGACUGGGGCGGUCGCCUCCUAAAAGGUAACGGAGGCGCCCAAAGGUUCCCUCAGAAUGGUUGGAAAUCAUUCGUAGAGUGCAAAGGCAAAAGGGAGCUUGACUGCGAGAGCUACAACUCGAGCAGGGACGAAAGUCGGGCUUAGUGAUCCGGUGGUUCCGCAUGGAAGGGCCAUCGCUCAACGGAUAAAAGCUUCCCUGGGGAUAACAGGCUUAUCUCCCCCAAGAGUCCACAUCGACGGGGAGGUUUGGCACCUCGAUGUCGGCUCGUCGCAUCCUGGGGCUGUAGUCGGUCCCAAGGGUUGGGCUGUUCGCCCAUUAAAGCGGCACGCGAGCUGGGUUCAGAACGUCGUGAGACAGUUCGGUCCCUAUCCGUCGCGGGCGUUGGAAAUUUGAGAGGAGCUGUCCUUAGUACGAGAGGACCGGGGUGGACUUACCGCUGGUGUACCAGUUGUCUCGCCAGAGGCAUCGCUGGGUAGCUAUGUAGGGAAGGGAUAAACGCUGAAAGCAUCUAAGUGUGAAGCCCACCUCAAGAUGAGAUUUCCCAUUUCUUUAAGAAAGUAAGAUCCCUGAGAGAUGAUCAGGUAGAUAGGUCAGGAGUGGAAGUGCAGCGAUGUACGGAGCGGACUGAUACUAAUCGGUCGAGGACUUAACC